AGUGAACGCUGGCGGCAGGCCUAACACAUGCAAGUCGAGCGGCAGCGCGGGGGCAACCCUGGCGGCGAGCGGCGGACGGGUGAGGAAUACAUCGGAAUCUACCCAGUCGUGGGGGAUAACGUAGGGAAACUUACGCUAAUACCGCAUACGACCUGAGGGUGAAAGCAGGGGACCGCAAGGCCUUGCGCGACUGGAUGAGCCGGUGUCCGAUUAGCUAGUUGGCGGGGUAAGAGCCCACCAAGGCGACGAUCGGUAGCUGGUCUGAGAGGAUGAUCAGCCACACUGGAACUGAGACACGGUCCAGACUCCUACGGGAGGCAGCAGUGGGGAAUAUUGGACAAUGGGCGCAAGCCUGAUCCAGCCAUGCCGCGCGUGUGAAGAAGGCCUUCGGGUUGUAAAGCACUUUUGUCCGGGAAGAAAUCUGCCGACCCAAUACGUCGGUAGGCUGACGGUACCGGAAGAAUAAGCACCGGCUAACUUCGUGCCAGCCGCCGCGGUAAUAC
rnacentral:rRNA from 1 species